rnacentral:rRNA from 1 species
GCUACCAUGCAGUCGAGCGAAGCCUUCGGGCUUAGCGGCGGACGGGUUAGUAACGCGUGGGAACGUGCCCUUCUCUACGGAAUAGUCCCGGGAAACUGGGUUUAAUACCGUAUACGCCCUUCGGGGGAAAGAAUUUCGGAGAAGGAUCGGCCCGCGUUAGAUUAGGUAGUUGGUGGGGUAACGGCCUACCAAGCCUACGAUCUAUAGCUGGUUUGAGAGGAUGAUCAGCCACACUGGGACUGAGACACGGCCCAGACUCCUACGGGAGGCAGCAGUGGGGAAUCUUAGACAAUGGGGGCAACCCUGAUCUAGCCAUGCCGCGUGAGUGAUGAAGGCCUUAGGGUUGUAAAGCUCUUUCGCCGGGGAAGAUAAUGACUGUACCCGGUAAAGAAGUCCCGGCUAACUCCGUGCCAGC